GACGAACACUGGCGGCGUGCCUAAUCCAUGCCAGUCGAACGAGUGGCGGACGGGUGAGUAAUGUAUGGGGCUCUGCCUGAUGGCGGGGGAUAACUACUGGAAACGGUAGCUAAUACCGCAUACCAUCAGAUGAACCCAUAUGGGAUUAGCUAGUAGGUGGGGGAACGGCUUACCUAGGCGGCGAUCCCUAGCUGGUCUGAGAGGAUGAUCAGCCACACUGGGACGGGGACACGGCCCAGACUCCUGCGGGAGGCAGCAGUGGGGAAUAGUGCACAAUGGGGGGAAGCCUGAUGCAGCCAGGCCGAGUGUAUGAAGAAGGCCUUCGGGUUGUAAAGUACUUUCAGUCGGGAGGCGUUACCGGCAGAAGAAGCACCGGCUAACUACGUGCCAGCCGCCGCGGUAAUUC
rnacentral:rRNA from 1 species